CCUACGGGAGGCAGCAGUGGGGAAUAUUGCACAAUGGGGGAAACCCUGAUGCAGCGACGCCGCGUGAGUGAAGAAGUAAUUCGUUACGUAAAGCUCUAUCAGCAGGGAAGAAAUACUGACCUUACGGUCAGCAGACGGUACCUGAGUAAGAAGCCCCAGCUAACUACGUGCCAGCAGCCGCGGUAAUACGUAGGGGGCAAGCGUUAUCCGGAUUUACUGGGUGUAAAGGAAGCGUAGACGGUUCGCCAAGUCUGGAGUGAAAUGCCGAAGCUUAACUGCGGAACUGCGUUGGAAACUGGCGAACUAGAGUGCGGGAGGGGUAAGCGGAAUUCCUAGUGUAGCGGUGAAAUGCGUAGAUAUUAGGAGGAACACCGGUGGCGAAGGCGGCUUACUGGACCGUAACUGACGUUGAGGCUCGAAAGCGUGGGGAGCAAACAGGAUUAGAUACCCCAGUAGUC
rnacentral:rRNA from 1 species